rnacentral:rRNA from 1 species
UACGUAGGGGGCGAGCGUUGUCCGGAUUUAUUGGGCGUAAAGGGCCCGCAGGCGGUCCGCUCAGUUUGGGGUUACAGCUGUCGGCUUAACCGGCAGAGCGCCUCGAAGACGGGCGGACUUGAGGACUUCAGAGGGACACAGAAUUCCGGGUGGAGUGGUGAAAUGCGUAGAUAUCCGGAGGAAUACCAAAGGCGAAGGCAGUGUCCUGGGGAGUGACUGACGCUUAUGGGCGAAAGCUAGGGGAGCGAACGGG